ACGACUACAUAUCAGGCAUAUCAAUAAGCGGAGGAAAAGAAACUAACAAGGAUUCCCCUAGUAACGGCGAGUGAAGCGGGAAGAGCUCAAAUUUGAAAUCUUCAAGGUUCUACCUUGACGAAUUGUAGUUUUAAAGAAGUGUUUUCUGUUAGAUGAGUAGCAAAAGUUCCUUGGAAUGGGACAUCAUAGAGGGUGAGAAUCCCGUAUUUGGUUAUUCAUUCUAGCUUUGUGAUACACUUUCCAAAGAGUCGGAUUGUUUGGGAAUGCAGUCCAAAAUGGGUGGUAAAUUUCAUCUAAAGCUAAAUAUUGGCGAGAGACCGAUAGCGAACAAGUACCGUGAGGGAAAGAUGAAAAGAACUUUGAAAAGAGAGUUAAACAGUACGUGAAAUUGUCAAAAGGGAAGCGUUUGACACCAGUGUUGUUUUUCCGAAAAUCAAUUACGAAUGGCUUGAUUUUGUGUUGUAUUGACCUUAUCAGCUUUCUUCACUUUCUUCAAGUCUUUCUUAAUGCACUUUUUCGGUUAACAAGUCAACAUCAAUUUCUUUUGUUGUAAAAGAGUAUUCGGAAGGUGGCUUUCUUUUCGGAGAAAGUGUUUAUAGCCCUAUACUUCUACAAUCGGAGAGAUUGAGGUCUGCAGCGUAGAUCCUUCGGGGUUAGAUACACUUGUGCUAAGUUGUAGCUUUUCAUAGACAACUUGUUGACUAUGUUUAGUCAUGCGGCUUACUCGCUUGUGCUAUUUUACCUACGCUUAGGAUGUUGAGUAGCGACAUACGCAC
rnacentral:rRNA from 1 species